ACUGACGGAUCCCGGGUGCGUGCGAGAGAAGACCGGAGCGGUGCAGGCCUGCAGCAGGUGUGUGAACAGAAGAGCGUGUAUGUGCGGGAGAGGGGGUGCCUGCACGUAUCGGCGAGAAGGUGUGCGUGGGAGCGCACGCGCGAUGCAAGACAGCAGGAGCAACAGCCGGCAUCAGAAGAAGUGGGAACUGGAGAUGAGCACUGAGACGGUCUCCAGAUUCCCAGGGGAGGAAUAACACCUUAGAUCGGAAAGCAAACGCCAGACUUGGAGAGCAGAGAGGGUUAAAUACUAGAGCAGCAAAGUGAGUGAGACAGAGACGGACUCCAUUCUGCAACGGAGCUGGACAAAAGCUACACGUGGAGGGCACCCCAGGCAGAGCAACAGGGCGUCUGCCUAAGGUGUGCGGGGCCAAACCCAGCAUUGUGCUUGGCUCCGAGGGAGAGAGCUUUUCCAGGCGCACACAUCUGCCAUUGUGACAAAAGAGAUGCAGAAAAUUACUGUAUCAUGGGGAUACAGUGGUCACGUCUGCCUUUGGGAAGAGGUGCCCGGCUCUGAAGGUUCACCCAGCCCAAACACAAGUCACUUCGAUAGCACCAAGGUGGUGAGAAGGAGCAAUGAAACACGGGUAUAAAUCCACGUCGAUGCUAGAACCUCCCCCAGCCAAGAGACCAAGAAACCUCACCUCCAACAAGGAGAAGAAAAUCAUGUCAGCCCCUCGUAAGAGAGCUGUCGGUGCAUGAUUUGCAGAACUGGAAAGCCAAUGCCAAGACUGAGUUAUUCCCCUUUUGUGUGCUGCUUCAUACAUACCACAUUAUGAUCCUGAUAUGUUCAAUCUAUUGUACUGCACAGUGAUUAUUUCUGCUCAUCCAGGAACUUUCCAAUUAUAUGAACUAGUAGUAAUUAUUUGGUAAUUACAUUUCAUAACUAUAUUGCAAUCAAACUAAUUUCACUUCAAUUACAGUGCCCUUAUUAUGAAAUGUGA